rnacentral:rRNA from 1 species
GAGUUUGAUCCUGGCUCAGAAUCAACGCUGGCGGCGUGCCUCAGACAUGCAAGUCGAACGAUUAAAGCUCCCUUCGGGGAGUGCAUAAAGUGGCGCACGGGUGAGUAACACGUAAGUAAUCUACCUUCGAGUGGGGAAUAACAGUCGGAAACGGCUGCUAAUACCGCAUAAUGCAGCGGCAUCGCAAGAUGACAGUUGUUAAAGAUUUAUCGCUUGAAGAGGAGCUUGCGGCAGAUUAGCUAGUUGGUAAGGUAAUGGCUUACCAAGGCUACGAUCUGUAACCGGUCUAAGAGGACGGUCGGUCACACUGACACUGAAUAACGGGUCAGACUCCUACGGGAGGCAGCAGUCGGGAAUUUUGGGCAAUGGGGGAAACCCUGACCCAGCAACGCCGCGUGAAGGAUGAAGUAUUUCGGUAUGUAAACUUCGAAAGAAUAGGAAGAAUUAAUGACGGUACUAUUUAUAAGGUCCGGCUAACUACGUGCCAGCAGCCGCAGU